CAGCAGCAGCCACGGGAAUACGUAGGGUGCAAGCGUUAAUCGGAAUUACUGGGCGUAAAGCGUGCGCAGGCGGUGUUGUAAGACUGAUGUGAAAUCCCCGGGCUCAACCUGGGAACUGCAUUGGUGACUGCAACGCUGGAGUGCGGCAGAGGGGGAUGGAAUUCCGCGUGUAGCAGUGAAAUGCGUAGAUAUGCGGAGGAACACCGAUGGCGAAGGCAAUCCCCUGGGCCUGCACUGACGCUCAUGCACGAAAGCGUGGGGAGCAAACAGGAUUAGAUACCCGCGUAGUCCCUGUCUCUUAUAC
rnacentral:rRNA from 1 species